UACGUAGGGUGCGAGCGUUAAUCGGAUUUACUGGGCGUAAAGCGUGCGCAGGCGGCCCGUUAAGACAGGUGUGAAAUCCCUGAGCUCAACCUAGGAAGUGCGCUUGUGACUGGCGGACUCGAGUACGGUAGAGGGAGGUGGAAUUCCAGGUGUAGCAGUGAAAUGCGUAGAGAUCAGGAGGAACACCGAUGGCGAAGGCAGCCCCCUGGGCCUGUACUGACGCUCAUGCACGAAAGCGUGGGGAGCAAACAGG
rnacentral:rRNA from 1 species